GCUAAUUGAAUUUAAUUUGACUCAAUUAAAAUCCCCAAUUCAAUCUUUUUUUAACUCAAUUUCUAAUCCCAAUUUGAUCCAUCUCCUCAAUUUUAAUCUCAACCAUUCAUCAUAUUUGAACAAUGAUUAAUAUUAAAUCAGUUUUCGCUGUUUUUUAAAUCACAUACAAAAUCAAAACCCUAAUUUCAUUCCCAAUAAUUUCUGCCUCCUCACUCUCUCUCUAAACAACAUCACCACCACCGGCCGCCUAUGGUCGGUGGACCACUGUGCCCUGCCGCCUUUUCUCAUCCCUAUUCUUCAUAGCCGCCGCUACUCCACCAGUGGACCGACAAACUCCACCUCACCCUUUCUUUUUUCUCCUUUCUCUUCACCCCAAACAGCCGCCGUUCCACCAUUUUUUGGCCGUCGGGCCAUCAAUCAACCACCAAAAACACCAAGCCGCUGAUGGUAUCACUGUUUCUACUGUUUUCUUGUCCCAUUUUAGCUGGUGUUUCAGCUUCAGCUUCUUUAUUAGUUGGACUUGUUAAUGAAACAUGCAUACAAGAAAUCAUCUUCAAAUGAUGAACACUUAUCUCAAGAAGACAACCAAGAGGAUGAAAGUGAUGAUGACUCUGACGACGUGAAUGAAAGUGAUUCUAAUCCUGAUAACGUGGAUGAAAGUGAUUCUGACCCAGAUGGUUGGUAGUUUUAUUGAAGAUUCAAGUUUGAAAUAUUUUGUUUUGAACCAUUUAAGAAUCAUACGUUAUUGAUGUGGAUAUUAUGAAUUAUGUUUUUUUGUUAGCUGUAAUGGUUUACAUUAGACUUGUAUUGAAUGAUGUUUUUGAGAAUUAUUGAAGGUUUUAAUUAGAUUUUUGACUAA